UAUAAAAAAGCUAAUUCAAAAUGAUCUAUCUAUCUAUGAAGUCAGAUAUAUAUCGAUAUAUUAUAUAUUAAAAACUAAUACUAUAAGAACACUGCUGCUGAAAUGUGUGUCUUUGCAAGUCUGAGAUCUCUUCUGAAAGUGUGAUGUGAGAUGACUAAGAUAUUUUUUUAUACUGAAACAGACUUGAAUAAAACCCUGUUGCAGAUCUCUUUAAUCUCAGAAUAAACAAGUGCUAGGCCUAUAUUAAAGAAAUCUCAUUUGCAAUUCUACAACUUUUUUUUUUUUUUUUAUUGCAUUUUAUUGAAAAGUUAUCGUGAUGCUUAAACAUUCAAAAUCAUUAUGUAAACAUUUCAUUCAAUGCAAUGCAGUGAAAUUCACUCAAACAUCACAAAGGUUUGAGAAUGUAAACAAGAGCGGGAUGCGAUGCGCAGCUCCACACUGCCCCCUCCCGUCUGAACACGCCACCGCCGUCGAGAGAUUACAGCGACAUGUUGAAUGCGGAAAUAAUUUGUUAAUUUUUCCAGCUGAUAAUGGGCAAAAUGACUCUAGAGGCACUGUAGGAGGGCUCUAAUGUUGACACUUCUGUUUGACGCCUCCUCCUCGCCAUCACCUCGACAGUCUCAUUCAUCCCCUCCGUCAGCGUCUCUCGGUUCUCAUCUUCCUCAUUGCAUCUUCUCUCUCCAGGAAGAGGAGAAUCAGCAGGUAGUUCAGUAAACGAGAAGAGGAGGAAGAAAACGACACAGCUGAGAGGAAGUAGGAGGGAGCAGCAGGCGUAGAGUGAUCCAGUGAGUGGAGGAGACAAACAAACUCAAUUCUAAUACAGGUAGAAAUGAUGGGAAGACUCCAGAGAGCAAUUUUGACUUCCCUUCAAACCGAAACCCUAGAACCUAGAACUAAUGAGACAGGAGAGGGGAAAAACAGCAGAGAAAGUAAUGCUAAAAUAAUAAACUGCAACUAAACAUUUAAUGGUUUGUGGAUACCCAAAUGCCAUUAGGUACUAUUUUUUGGUUUUCAAAAAGAACCUUUCAGUGAUCAGUUCUUAAAAAAAACUAUUUUUCUUAGUUUAAAGUACGUUUGAAUAAUCUAAAAAGAAUCCUUUUCCACUAUGAAGAAUCUUUUGUGGAAUGGAAAGGAUCUAUAAAUGUUAAAGAAUUUACAUUAAACCAAAGUUGCCGAUAAAGAACCUUUAUUUUUAAGAGAGGAAAAAUGCCAUGCGUCCAACCAACAGUAUCAACAGUAUUUGUGUGUUAAAUAUUCAUCCAUUUGGUGGAAGCUAAUCAAAUCCAUGCAGACCACAUCUUUUGUGCAGUAGCCUAUAGUUUUCAUGUUUUCAAAGUGAAAGUCUUGCGUCAUUUAACUAAAGUUUUUUUGUUUAAAUGUUGAUUCAGUAAGGUUAUUCUUAAGCUUUUCAUAUUUUGUAUGCAAUUAAUCACCAAUUGCGAAGUGUACUUGCUUAUUAAUAAUUAUAUGAAUAUUAAUUGACAUAGAAAUGCUGUUUAUUGGUAACACUUUACAAUGCUGUUCAAGAAGAAUAUUCAUAUUUCUAUGUAUAUGUUUUUAACAUUUCAAGUUAUAUAAAUUGACAUCGUUUACCAUUGUAUUGGAUAGCCAAUGUAAAAUCUGCAUCCUGAAGCACUGACCUAGAGCUGAGAGAUGCACUGGCUCUUGAUGAGUAUCAGAUUGAUGUUAUACAAUGAAAUUAGGACAUGCAUAUAACAAGCAAACAAAACACUCCAAACUGAAGAAAAUCAAACGCUGAUGCCGUAUACUCAAGAGCUACUGAGGGAUUAUGGGAAAUAGCAUCUAUCAGGCCAGAGCGCCAACAGGAUUGGGACUGCACACACACACACAACAGAGACACACUGAGACGUGCCGCGUGUCUAAUCCCGAACACUAGACGAUUCCCCAAGGAGGUGAGACUUCAAAAAGGAUCCCGCCCACAGCUACAGAGAUAAAGCACCCCACAAUUUUCAAUUAACCAGUCUUUUUCAUGUUCCGUUGCGUUCUCUCGGUUUGUUUGUCUUGUUUGCUUCAAAUUCCAUUCUUUCCGUCAUUCCUCUCACUAUCUUCCAGGGCAAAGGUACCCACACACGGAGAAACGAACGCACAUUGCCUUCUUCACGCUGUGAGGUGCAUAUCAAGCGCAGAGUUACGGCCCCUUAGCGUAACGAUGACAAAAAAACGAUAACGGCCUACAUCAGAGCGUUUGCAUCCUGGCUUCAGGCUACAGGUCCACAAUACUCACCGUCGACUUCUAGUUGUGUGUGUGUGUCGAUAACAUACAGAAAACCCCCGGAAAAUGCUUCUCCCUGGCAAGUUGCGCAAGUAUAUGCCUCGGGCCGUGAUUUCUGUGGACUGGGAAAGGUCUGAUAUUAAACAAAAUUAUAAAAAGAAAGUAAAAGGAGUCAACAACUCAUCUACAUGUUGGCUGAAGAUGGCAGGCGAUAUCCCAAGUGCACAUUUGAUGACAAGACCGAAUCGAGAGGCAGAAAAGAAGUGCUGACAGCUACCGACACACUGAAGUGAGCAAUCGCUCGAGGGCCUUCAUCAGGAAAAGCGCCGGAUGAGUGACAAGGAAGCCUGCUGGAAAAACGAGUGCUUCUUAUAUAAUUCAACAGGAGGGCAUGUGAGCACUUAUACGGGAGCAAGAGCACGAACAUGAUCUUUCAUAUUAGUGAGGCGUUAAAACUCCUAAUUGCCCUGUUGAAACUCAUUGGGUGUGACAUCAAAAAGACAUAAAAGAAAGAAGAAAAAAAAAAAAAAAAAGGCCAGUGAGGCAUCUACUUGAUUGCCUUGAGCAAAACGCCACUGAUUUGCAUAUUAAUUAAUAUGUAGGAAGUGGAGAACAUCCUUCAAACUCCCCGUCCACAUAAACGCGAGUCAGCACGACACGUCGCUAGAUAUUUAGACGCUUAGACAGUGAUGUGUUCAUUACCUGCAGCUCUGUGUGAAAGAAAACAGGAAUUUCUAGUGACAUAGGCAGAAAGUUGAAAUACUUUGUGUUGGAGUUUACCUGGAAUGCAGUCCAACUGAGAACCAAGUCCUGUUGAAAACCAAGGAGUAAUGAAAAGAGUGGCCACCAAAAACAAAUCCCAUUAUAAUAAAAAUGAAACAUUUAGCUGAAUUUCUGCUUCGGUUUAAGUUAACUCAUUUUGAAUGGAUUUGAAUAAAAAUGAGUAUAGCACUGUAUGAAAUUCUUGCAAAGCCACUAAAAUAAUCAUUUCUGAUUAUUGCUUGUGUUAACUUUUAAUGCAUGUUUUUUCUCACUAAAGUCAGUUUGAGGUCAAACAAUAACUGCUGACGACCAUAUACUAAAGACCCUAGGUAAAUUGUACAAAAUUAUUGCCUUAUUCAAAAUAUAUUACUAAUAAAUUUGACUUCUAUGAAAACAAAAAAGAAAAAUCCAAUAAUAAAAGUAAAUGUACACACUUUAUGAUGCUUGCAAAGCCAAUAAAACAAUCAAUUUGAUUAUCAUCUGUGCAUAUUAUUUAUUAUUAUCAGUAUAAUGUAUUAUUUAUUUUUUGCGGGAGAGACAAUGAAACUUUUCAUGAACUUCAGUUUAGGUUGAAGUUAACUUAUUUAAAACAACCGUUAAAGACCUUUGGUACAAAAAUAUUGCCUUGAAAAUGUAUUACUAUUUUUAUUAUUAUUAUUAUUAUUAUUAUUAUUAUUUACUUAUUCAAAAAAUAAAGUUGCUAAAAUUUACUUAGAACUUCACUUAAUUUAUACAAAUCUGCUUUACGACCUUGUGUUAUUUAUUUUGGAUUGGUGGAAACGCAAAAAUCUUCAAUGCUGGUAUCAAAUAUGAUAUUCAAUGUUCAGUGCCAAAGCAUAAAGUUUCACACAUCAUGGCAGUAAAUUUACAAGACUCAGUAAACACUGAGCUCAGACGUCACCUAUAAAAGCCACCUAAUGCAUUCUGAGCUGGAAUGGAGAGCUUUAAAACUCAAACAUGCUCUAUCAAAGUGGACUUCAAAAGCCCUGCCGCUUAUGUUAAAAUAUUCCCUCUCACGAGAAAAGCCUUUGCAUGUUCACAAGGUCUUCUGCAGUCAGCAGACAUUCCAAACACUCACGGUCUCCAUGGUUUCGGUCAGUAACAGCUGUCAAUCAAAGUGCACUGGAGAAGGAAGAGGUUGCCUUGGGACAUGAGGCCUAGAGUUCAUAUGAGGAGAACAUGCAUUAUGCAUUACAGCAAUAGGGAGAACACCUGAGGAGAAGCAGUAGGACAUGAUGUGAAUAAGCCAUGAUCCUGAUGCAAUGCAGUCUAGCUACGGAGAAAAGAACCUCAAGAGGAACGACAAAACUUCUCCACAGCAGGAGACUAAAAGUAUAUAAUGGGUACAGAAUACAGUAUAUUCACACAGAUGUCUACAGACGUUCAUAUUUCAGAACUGUGCAAGUAUUGAAGAAUCUCUAAGUGGCCCUUAAAAAUUCUAAGUUCUCAAGGUGUUGAGAUCAUAAAGGAAAAGAAGAAACACUAUAAAUAGGAAAACAACUUGAAGGACCAUUCGAGGGUCUUCAAAACAUCACACUGAUCAAACCAUUUGAAGAACAUCUAAGGUUAUCAAUGACCAUAAAAGAAAUGAAGAAACUAGGCACUUUUUAAAAAGUGACUGAACCCUUUGAAGAACCCCUGGAAGUUCUCAAUCUAUCGAUGAUCAUAAAGGGAUGGAAGAAACAUCAUAAAAAUGAAAAGAUAACUUUAGGGACGAUAGAAAGUCUUCAGAUUUCAACUUGGCAGAAAUAUUUGGAGAGCCUCUAAGCAUCAUUUCUUUUAAAAAGUUUUCAUUUUUAAACGAUUAGAAUCAUAAAGGGAAGGAAGAAAUACUAUAAAAAUAAAAACAACUUUGUUGGAUGAUUUGAGGGUGUUCAGAAUGCCAUACUGAUGGAAACCUUUGGAAAAUCCCUAGGUGCCCUUUAAAAAGUGAAGUUCUCAGAGUGUUGAGAUCAUAAAGGAAAAGAAAAAAACACUAUAAACAUAAAAACAACUUGAAGGACCAUUCAGGUGUUUUUUUUUAUAGUGGAAAAAGUUUCUUCAGAUGGUUCCUUUAAGAACUGUUCACUGAAGGGUUCUUUGGUGAACCCAAAAUGAUUUUUCUGUUACACUGCACAAAAACCACCUUUUGGAAACUUUAUUUUUUAAGAGUAGAAGGACAUACAGGCAUGCUUUCAAACAGAGCUGGUUUCUGUAGAACUUACAAAAAGGAACCCAUAAUUUCCUAAUAAGUUCCCAAAAGACUGUUUAUGACUUCCUCAGUAAUCCAGUCAUAAGCGAACUGGUUUGUGGCACUUGAAAGUAUAUUGUAAACAGCAUCUGAAGCACCUUCUAAUGCGCUCAUGUAAUUCAUACAGUAACAUCUAAGGUCAUGAGGCUGAAUGCAAUGCAAAAUGACUUGGAUAAAAGCGCUCAUCCAAUGCAUUCAUGAAAAUGUAAGGUUUUUUUUUAUUUUACAGCAAGUAUUACUAAUAAAACAGGGAAAGCAACAUAUUGGGUGGCAAGAAAACUUUAAAGCACCUACCUAACCAAGUCCAACCUAAUUAAAUGGCUGUGCACAUUAUAUACUAAAAAAAAAUAAAAAAUACAAAACUGGUCUAAAACAGCCAACCUACCAUCCAAUGCCUCCUGCAUUGCUGUGAAUCUUAACUUCGUGCACCUGGAGUAAGAAGAGCACUUCUAUGAGAUGGACAAAGUAAGCCAGGCAUGAGUAGAAGCAAGUCCAGAAAGUAAGAAGGAACUGUCAGCAACGUCAAAGCCCACACAUAUUACCAGUACUCUUUCAAAGCCUCAGGUAUGUCUCAUGGCAACCAGGAUGUGAGAGAGGACUGUGCAUGCCCAGAGUCCAGACAUUCCUCCUUUCACACUGAUGCUGGAGAAAAGCACGUUAGAGACACACAUACGAAAGGCGAAGAAAAGUAUUAUACUGUUACAUGUAAAGCAAAAGUUCCAAAUCCCUAACAGCAGCUUCACACACUUUGGACAAUUUGCGAUUGUUAAAGUGAACCUUGGAUCUUAUUCAAGUUUAAAUUGGAUCACAGAAAACACACAAGUCUAUGAAUCCUUGAUUAACUCAGUCGUGAAAUGACAAGAUGUAAUCUUAAAAUUAAUGGGCUCAUUUCUUUGCUUAGAAAGACAUCAUAUAAAGUAAAACUGAUGAUUUACCAUUCAGAAAGCAUUUCAAAAGAUUACAGGCACUCGACACUCUUAAAAAUAAGGGUUCCAAAAAAGUGUUUCUGCUGUCAUGCCAUAGAAGAACCAUUGUUGGUUAACAGUUCCUAAAAGAACCAUUUUGAAGACCAUUUAAAGAACCUUUUCUGCGUUUGAAGGUUCCAUGGAUGUUCAAGGUUCUUCAUAGAACCAUUGAUGCCAAUAAAGAAACUUUAUUUAAUAAGAUUGCAGAUGCAAAAUUCAUUGUGGGAAAGGCAAUACCAAAAUGUGAUUAUCAACUUAUCCAAAAUUAGCAGCCGAGUCUAGAAAUUAUAAAAUGGUUUCCUUGGCUUUUUUUUCUUCUAGGUAAGUAACAAGAUAAAAUACUAUAAAACAGCAAUUUAAAAACCUAUAUAAGCUUUUAAAGUUUGCUUUAGGUAUAAAAAAAAAAAAAAUAAAAA